GUGUAGCCAGCCCAGUAGUUCUAAGAAAUGAAAUCCCAAAUCUGAUACAUGAAGGGCAUCGAGAAUUGAAUAACUGUUCAAAAGCAGGUUCUGGACUGCUUCGCUUCAAUAAAGAUGUAAAGAACAAAGGAAUAGCGUGCAACUACUGCACCAUCAAUAGAUGCUUGAAAUACAAAAGCUGGAAAAGCGGAGAAGUGUGGAACCUGGCAAAACGUUAAUACCUGCUUUGCAGAGAGGAAAGGCGCAUCACGGAGACGUGGAAUCGGAAAGGGCCCCAAGAGGUCAUCCUGUGCCACGGCUUAAAUUCUCUCUGGCUGGGGACAUCUAGUCUCUUAUUUAAAAUGUCCAGAGAAAUAUGACAGAUCGUGUUCCAGAGAAAGAAGAGAAUGUGCUUUUACUUGUGGCAGCCACUGGACAGCUGACCCACUGGGCGUGGUAAAUCAGGGUUGAAAACAAUGACAUACAAAGAAUUUCCGAACUCAUCAGACCUCCUCUGAUGUACAAGACUGGCAUCUGCCUGCAUGCCAACAGGAAUCUUAUGAAACCAAAAUUUCAGCCCAAAGAGAUCUGGACCCUGUAACAGGAAUUCUUAUAAUUCUCAAGCCAGAACUCAUAAGUUUCAGCUACUUCGAUGAAGGGAGAAGAGGCCAUUUGGGGGGAUCCCCUGGUCGAUGUGGUCAUCGUGACAACCUGUGCUGCUUGUUAGGAAAUAAUAUCCAAGUGGAAGGGAUGUUCAUAGUUUAUAGUCAUAAGCUAAGAGAAUUUAAUACCAGACUGAAAUUAAAACACACGCACACACACCCAUACACACACACUUGGAGCCUCCAGGAAUGUGAGAGACAUAAGAUAACAGCAUUUGUAUCACAAUGCCAAUUUAUUAAUUAAGACCGAAAUGUGUAAGAUUUCCAUUUUCGAUGAAGUUGCAUCAGUAAUGUCCCUGCAUCCAAAAUGUCCUCAGUUCCUAUUAAUAAGGCUAAAGGGAGAUUCUUUGCAAAAUGGUUGGAAUGUUUUGAGAUUUCUGAACCCCUUGGGAACACUAGGCAGAAUAAUGGACCAGAUUUAAAGGGAGAUUCUUUGCAAAAUGGUUGGAAUGUUUUGAGAUUUCUGAACCCCUUGGGAACACUAGGCAGAAUAAUGGACCAGAUUUAAUGAUCUCUAUAUCGUCCAUGCUGGUUGCCUAGACACAUCCCUCAAAGAUUAGUAGAUGCUGGUUUUGUCCAUUUAAUCAAAGAGAGGAUAUAUAAAAUUUAGACACUGUUUCAUUUCUGGGUGCUUUUCAGGGAAGUGCCAGAGAUUUCAGGGGACCUGGGGAGUUGUUUCAUCUGUUGUCAGGGCAUUCCUGUGAGGAAUACAAUUUGGUACAAAAGUACACUAAAUACAUAUGGUAGUCAGCGUGACCGUAUCAAUGCUAUAGCUGAAGAAAUGGAAUCGAAGACUCAGAGUUGAGGCCAACGUUUGUAACGAUGAUCCCUUCAUUUCAGUCUAAGAGACUGUCUUGGUCAGAACAAUCUCCUGUACGGGGACAUGAGGCUGCCAAGCAAAGGCCGUUUGUAAUGAGACUUUUUCUUUAGUUACAAGAUUGUCUUCUAAAUUAGUUGAAUCUAUGGGCCACAAAUAUAGAACUGCCUGACCCAACUUGACUUUAACAUGGCAACACACCAUGCUAUGUCUGAAAUGUAUGCAAGGAUGGGGUUUUAGCUCCAUUUUUUUUAAGAGGGUUUGAUAGUUAUUUGUGCCUAGGCAGCCUAAUCCCUGAAGGACUGGCCACUGUCUGUAAGUGAGAGCUGUCCCUAGCUGGCCCCAUAAAAGAGGAACUGGUGGCUAUAUUUGGGAUGGCAUGAGGCAACAGGACAAGCGCUGCUCAUGUUGCUACUGUCACACCUUCUGAGAUUCAAAGUGUUCUUCCAUCCUAGACUGUAAAAGGAAAGGCCCAGUUUCCUUGGGAAAAGGGAAGUAACUAGCUGGUGUAACCCAUUAGGAUGCACGGUACCCUGCCUGGGUGGUGAGCAGCCCUUCACAUUUCUCUUUGAAUAUGCAUUCUCUUUUCCCCACUGUCUCCAUGCAUAUUCUCUUUGGAUACACAUUUCUUCCCUCCCUCGUGGAGGGAAGGGGGUGGCAUUAAAACAUGCUUGUACUUUAUCUGUGAGUCUGUGACUCUGGGUAAAGGUUCACUCACUAAGAGGAAGAAAAUCCUAUUUUAAGUUCCACCUCUGGAACUAGGAACUUAAUCCUUGAUUAGACAAAUAGUAAGGUCAGUGAGUAAUAAUUAGAACCUGUUCCUAGAACCCCACCACAUUAGAAGGUCUUACGCACACAUCGUGUCUCUUACGGGGAAAGGAAUGACAGACAUGCUCACUUCCAUGUGGCUACUUGACAAGGAUCCAAAAUAACACAAUGACUCCAUGGAUAUUUCUAUAGGUUUUUUUUCCUGUUACUCUUUUUGUUUGAUGUUUAUGUGAAAUCACAGAGAACAAUCACUGUUCACUUAGUGAAUGUACAUUGAGUCUCAAAGAUGUGCUAAGGGAAUUUUGAAGUAUAGAAAGAAACAUGGUACUGUGAGCCAUCAGAUUAAUGCCAGCCCCUAUUUAAUUAUAGGUAUGCUAUGAUGUUUUUAUACAUCGAGCCCAUCUUAUAAAUCAAGUAAAUAAAUAAAUAUAGUUGACAAUAGCUCGUGCUCAUCUGUGGACUAUUUAGACAAUUGCAAGUGAAAAUGAAUAUUUUUUCUUUCCAUAUUUUACCAAAUUUGCUAAUUUCAUGAUGAGGAGUGCCUGCUUAUUUCCAGGGUUUAAAUGUUAAAAGUCUCUUGAUGAACACGGAAUAAAUUAAUUGGUAAAUUAGAAAAAAGUUUAUGAAAUCAAAGUACAAAAUACGCUCUUUGCCUCAUGUACAAUGCAAUACUGUGUUCAUAACCAGUAAACGCUCUGAAGUUGUUGCCAUGUGCAUGCUAGAUUGGAGAAACAGUUGAAACCUUGCACAAGGGUGAUUUUUUUCCCUUUGAUUCACAGAAUGGAAAUAACAUAAGCCAUGUCUGAUUUUUGAAAGUAUAAACUGAAGUAUGAAAAAGGUGAGGGACCCUUCACUGCAUCAAGACUUAGAGUUAGAACCAGACAUAAUGAGACAACUGGAAAGCCAGCUAGAAGAAAGUUUACAAGACUAUGACCUCAAACUAUAAUCUUCAAAGAGGAAAAGAGAUAAAUUAAGAAAACAACUUGUCAGGCCCAGAGGCUCUUUGCUGAGCUGAACAUGAACCCAAGAAGAUAUUAGUCUGAAGUUCCUGGGGGCCAUCAUAAGAAGAUCCAUCCAAGAGGGAAGCCAACAAAUGAGAGACAAAUGAAGAAAAGAGACCACAGAAAUGGAGACCAGCUGGUGGACAUGUUUUGGAUUUACAGUGCAUCAGAGCAGUCUGAGAUGAGUGAACACAAUGGAUUAUAGAGGUUCCAUUUCAGUAGACCAAGCACAGACUUCCAGGAAGCCUUUGAUAGGCAGGCUUUGCUGGGUUGCCUCCACCAUUCCAUCAAGCUUCCUCUGACUCUGUCUGAUAUGAUUGACAAGUAUGCAGAAUUUUAAAG
ensembl:lncRNA